AUAGCUAUCAUGACGUUGACAUCCGUUAAGAAAGGAUGUUUGAAAAUUCAACCCCUAAAUGGGUAAAACGGCGGUUUGAAAUUAGUGUGGUCCACGCCGACGAAGUCGCGGGCAUAAGCUAGUCUAAAUAUAUAAAAGAAAAAGGUG